rnacentral:lncRNA from 1 species
CUACAAGAGGCCUAGAUUGCCUCUGAAGGGUAUUGAAAAUACAUUAGCAAAAAAGCAAAGAUUGUUGUUAUGGCCACACUUGAAAUUUCUGUGACUCAAGGACAGAUCCACCAUGACUACUGAAUACUGAACUCCAUCUCUGUAAAGCAAAUAUUUCAGCUGCUAAGCACCUGAACUUUGCAGAGCAUUCACUUGUAUGUAUGUCCAGCCAUACAAGAAAUAAUCAGAGCAAUGGUUAUUCACAUACAGCGUGACACAUUUGAUCCUCCCACAUAAGAAUUAUUAUCCUCCAAGUCAGACAGAUGUGGUUUUCAGUCAAAUCAGAAGUUAGAAAACACUUUCAGUUCCCAAAUAUGCAUUGUGAUAUCAUUAUUUCUAUUUUUACAGGGUUUUAAUUGUGCAAAGAUCAUCGCCAAGGCUUCAGGUUCCACCACCUUAACUUUCUGCUCCCCACAGCAGUCUGUGCUUAGCAAGGAGAAUGGUAUCCGGCCUUUCAGGUGUUUAUACUACUGUGUUCUGAAGAGUUGCACAGAGAUACUGAACGGAGCUCAGCCUGAGGGAACCUGAAAGAUGCUGUGAGCCCUGACUUGUAGAAUUGGUGUCAGUACGCAGCACCUCCCUGAGCUAGGCCAUACCCUGUGCCUGCAUGGCACCACUGUGCCAGCCCCACAUAGCAUGCCUGCCAAGAACCUUAAAAGCAUUUAUAGAUAUUUAUAAAUACCCCCCGCUGCCUCAAAAAGCUUGCAGCCACAGUACAGCAGCACAGCAGGGAUGGAGGAAAAAAAAAAAAAAAAAAAGAGUGGGAGCAAUUGGAGCAGCUGAAUGCAAUUGGGAAAAAUAACAAAUAAACAACCAGUAUGCUUUAUUUCAUCCCUGAUGUGUGACCUGAGGCAGCACCAGUAUUCAGGGGUGUGGAAUCUUUGCGGUGUGGAUCCAGGUUCUCUUGGGCUGUCUUCACUCAGGCUUUCCUUGUUGGCUCAGGACAUUGGUGUGGAAGUUGCGAUGGGUGACAUCAAGAUUCUCCAGCCGGAAAGGGAAGACAGGUUUGUCACUACAUGCCACUGUGUUUUAUGA